CCCAAGAAAACAAACCAUCGUCUCAUCUCCAUCUUUUAUUCGAUCAACCUUAGAGCUGUAAGUUACUUCGUGAGUUUUGACUCUUUUUGAUUAAAUUCACUACUUCUUCUUUCCAGAAAAUCUUUUUGAGGAAAUUAAAUUCACUACUUCUUUCCACAAAAUCUAUUUGAGAAAACUGUUAAAUUCGAAAAGGGGAGAAAUUGCAAUUAGUCGAAGCAAUUCGGUGUGCUUAUGGGGUUGAUAAAAUUCUCAAUCAAUUCAAUUUUGACCCAUGAGUUUUUCGAACCGAUUAAUCAAUUCAAUUAGGUUGAGCUGUUAAAUCCGACAUGUUUACACAACCAAUUACUCUAAAGCAAUUCAGUGGAUUUAUGGGGUUGAUAAAAGUGUCAAUCGGAUUGAUUCAGUUUCGCCCACAUACUUUCCCAAAUCAAUUAAUCAAUUCAACUGGAUUGUAUAUGUUGAAGAAUAUACAAUCAAACCGAAGGAUAUAUAUGAAGACAUCAUAGUAUCCUGCAGAUAAGUAGUGGUUUUCCUAAAACAUGUUUCAUUGUUUUAUUUGGUAGAAUCUAAACGAGUUUCUUAAUUUGGUUUACACAAAACUGCAGGAAAUCAAAUGAGAUGUACUUUCUUGCAGUCCAGUAUAUUACAAUAGAGUCUAUGUUUGGAAGGGAGAAACAGGAAGCUUCGUCACCAACGUUUGCAAAAUCUACCAGUUUCAGGAAGAUGUCAUCAAACAACGACGGACAUGGCGCGAUGGAGGUCGUGUUGAUUAGAGUCAUACGCCAUUGGAGAAGGUCUGCUAGGAGAGAGAGGAAGGAAGCUUAAAGAUGUUUGGAGCCCAUAAAGGUCUAUGGAACCAGAUAAAGCCCACCCUUUGUCAAGUAUAUCCAAUUUUGAAAUUUCGGGUAUGUUUUUUAAUAAAACCCGAUUGAACUAACACUAAAGUCACUUUUGUCCUUCUGGCUGAUGUUGCUAGUUGUUGGCGUGAGGGGCAUUUUUGUCUAUUGUGUAAGUUGUACUUCUCUUAUACUAUAAUAGAGAUUUAAGA